GGGCCGUGCCUGAUGCUCUUUGGGUUUCUGCCGGGGUGCUGGUGUACUUGUGAGGACAGGCAUCAUCUGUGUGCCCUGCACCCCCAUCUCCCUAAAAAUACGGGCAUUUCUGCAGGGCUCUGCAUUGUUUUUGGGUCCUGUCCUGCAGCGGGCUGGAGAACAGAUGAAAAUACCACAGGCUCAAAAGCAUUUAAAUAGAUUGCACCUGGGUUUCAGUCCCGCACUCAGCCAGCACCGCGUACUGCCCAGCACUGAGCCCCAGGACUAUUUCCAGCACCACAAGGAUGCACAACCAGCGCACGCUGCCCGGCGGUAUGGGAUUACACCAGUGUCCGAUGUCACCGAGGGCACUUGUGUGGAAUAAACAGUCCUGCUCAGGUGAUCCCGAAGAAUUAAUCUGCCUACAAGUACUUUUUUUUUUUUUUUCCUGAUCAAGUGUCCCUGGUUGACAACACAGAACUUCAUGAUGCUAUCUUUAGAGAGGCUCUUCUGCACAGAAACACCCUUU